rnacentral:pre_miRNA from 1 species
GGUUGUGAUUCCAGAGUCGGGGUUUUGAGGGCGAGAUGAGUUUGUGUUUUAUCCAACUGGCCCACAAAGUCCCGCUUUUGGUGGUCACUUUGAUC